rnacentral:rRNA from 1 species
GAAAGAUGGUUUCGGCUAUCGCUUACAGAUGGGCCCGCGGUGCAUUAGCUAGUUGGUAGGGUAAUGGCCUACCAAGGCAACGAUGCAUAGCCGACCUGAGAGGGUGAUCGGCCACACUGGGACUGAGACACGGCCCAGACUCCUACGGGAGGCAGCAGUAGGGAAUCUUCCGCAAUGGACGAAAGUCUGACGGAGCAACGCCGCGUGUAUGAAGAAGGUUUUCGGAUCGUAAAGUACUGUUGUUAGAGAAGAACAAG